rnacentral:rRNA from 1 species
ACUCAAAUGAAUAGACGGGGGCCCGCACAAGCGGUGGAGCAUGUGGUUUAAUUCGACGCAACGCGAAGAACCUUACCUGGGCUCGAAAUGCACAAGAAUCCGGCAGAAACGUCGGCGUCCAGCAAUGGACUUGUGUAUAGGUGCUGCAUGGCUGUCGUCAGCUCGUGUCGUGAGAUGUUGGGUUAAGUCCCGCAACGAGCGCAACCCUUAUCUUCAGUUGCUACCAUUUAGUUGAGCACUCUGACGAAACCGCCUCGGAUAACGGGGAGGAAGGUGGGGAUGACGUCAAGUCCUCAUGGCCUUUAUGUCCAGGGCUACACACGUGCUACAAUGGCCGGUACAAACCGCUGCAACCCCGCGAGGGUGAGCUAAUCGGAAAAAGCCGGCCUCAGUUCGGAUUGGAGUCUGCAACUCGACUCCAUGAAGCUGGAAUCGCUAGUAAUCGUGGAUCAGCAUGCCACGGUGAAUACGUUCCCGGGCCUUGCACACACCGCCCGU